rnacentral:lncRNA from 1 species
CCCAAAAAUGGGUUGGAUGGGGUCAUUGAGUGCAAAAAAUAAUUUUCUUUUAAGAUAGGGUUGUUGUAUAUUAAAUGAAAGGUCAUGAAGUGUACAUUGGCAAUAUCAAAUCCCGACCUCCAAAAAUUAGUUGGAUAGGGUUAUUAAGUGCAAAAAUCAAACUUUCUAGAACAUAGAGUUGUUGCAUAUCAAAUGAAAGCUCAUCUACUCUAUGUUAUUUAUAUCAUAAUUCCGAUCUCAAAAAUGUAGGCGGUUGAAGUCAUUAAGUGUUAAAAGCAGAAAGUUUCAGAAGGUAUGCUUGUCGUAUAUCAAACGAAAGGUCGUACAAGGUACAUUACAAAAACAUCACUUUUACAGGAAAGACCUUUCAAUUGUUUUACAAACAAUUGAGAUACUAGUUAAGGUCUUUCCUCUCCGCGAGGAAAGACCUUAUUGUUUUUCUCCUGUUUUUAAGGUCUUUCCCCUACGGGGGGAAAGACCUUACUGUUUUUCUAAUGUUUUUUUUUCCAACAUUUUUUCUAAAUGCCCUCCCCCCGUUUCUAUUGAUGUCAUCAAGACCAAAUAUAAACCAUCGAUAGAUCUCAUCAUGAGGUAUUACCAGAUGAGGCUGUGUAGGAUUUCAUCAUCCCCUUUAGAAGUUAUCUCCCUUUUAUUUUUUUUCGACAUGGCCCCCCCUCGUUGUUUUUGAAGAUAUCAUGACCUUAUUUGGACAAUAGUUAGAUCUCAUCAUGAUGUGUUACCAUAUGGGGCUGCUAAGGAUUUCAUCAUUCUCUAUGCGAGUCAUGUCCCCUUGAAGCAAUUUCUUUCUUUUACAUUUUUCUCAAAAAGUAUUCAAGAUAGAAUCGAUUUGAAAACGGCAACAUGUACAGGACCAGAUGGCAAUGUUAAUUAACAUAUACAAUCAUUUUGUUGUUAACCCUUAUAAGGAGUUAUUUCCCUUGAAAAAAUAUAAACAAUUUUUGAAAAAUUGUAUCUCGAGAACCGGAAGUCGUAAAGACUUGGGACCUACACCAAUAAUCUUAAGUUCAUGUGACCUUUAAUUUGCACCAAAGGUCAAAGGUCACCGAGUGCAAAAAAAAAUUACGCUGCAAUUUCAAGCUUUCAUAUUAAGAAAACGAUAAGAGUUUGCUGCAUACUUACAGCGUAUAAAAUGUUCCUCUCGACGAGCUUUACAUUUUAUACACUGACCUCAAAAGAGUCCGACUGUCUGUUCAAAAGUUACGACGGGAUGAUUCUUAUAAGUAUAGUAUUGUGUGUAUAUCUUUUUAAAGAUAACAGAUAUCAACCUACUAUAAACUGCAAAGAUGAUCAGUAGUUCAAGACUUCAAUUUGAG